UUACUGGCGUCAGGAAUGAACGCUAGCUACAGGCUAACACAUGCAAGUCAGGGGUAGCAGGGUAGCAAUACCGCUGACGACGGCGCACGGGUGAGUAACACGUAUCCAACCUUCCCAUAACUCAGGGAUAGCCUUUCGAAAGAAAGAUUAAUACCUGAUAGUACUUUUUCAAGGCAUCUUGAGAAAGUUAAAGAUUUAUUGGUUAUGGAUGGGGAUGCGUUCCAUUAGAUAGUUGGUGAGGUAACGGCUCACCAAGUCUUCGAUGGAUAGGGGUUCUGAGAGGAAGGUCCCCCACAUUGGUACUGAGACACGGACCAAACUCCUACGGGAGGCAGCAGUGAGGAAUAUUGGUCAAUGGGCGAGAGCCUGAACCAGCCAAGUAGCGUGAAGGAAUGAAGGUCCUAUGGAUUGUAAACUUCUUUUAUAGUAGAAUAAAGUGAUCCACGUGUGGAUUUUUGUAUGUAUACUAUGAAUAAGGAUCGGCUAACUCCGUGCCAGCCGCCGC
rnacentral:rRNA from 1 species